CCAGACUCCUACGGGAGGCAGCAGUGAGGAAUAUUGGUCAAUGGACGAGAGUCUGAACCAGCCAAGUAGCGUGAAGGAUGACUGCCCUAUGGGUUGUAAACUUCUUUUAUAUGGGAAUAAAACGUUCCACGUGUGGGAUUUUGUAUGUACCAUAUGAAUAAGGAUCGGCUAACUCCGUGCCAGCAGCCGCGGUAAUACGGGGGAUGCGAGCGUUAUCCGGAUUUAUUGGGUUUAAAGGGUGCGUAGGCGGCGCUUCAGGUCAGCGGUGAAAUACCGGGGCUCAACCCCGGGGCUGCCGUUGAAACCGGAGCGCUAGAAUUCCGAUGCCGUCGGAGGAAUGUGUGGUGUAGCGGUGAAAUGCAUAGAUAUCACGCAGAACUCCGAUUGCGAAGGCAGCAUACCGGCGCUCAACUGACGCUCAUGCACGAAAGCGUGGGUAUCGAACAGGAUUAGAUACCCGCGUA
rnacentral:rRNA from 1 species